CAAAAUGUAGCUUAACUAAAGCUUUUCGCUUACACCGAGACUAUGUCUGUUAAAACCAGAUCAUUUUGA
rnacentral:tRNA from 1 species